GCAUUAGUGGGGUAGUGGUAACCUGGGUCGUUGCCAUUCGAAAGUAUAUAAUUCAUUGUUCGACCCGCCGGGGGUUCGAUUCCCCCUUAAUGCA